rnacentral:rRNA from 1 species
GAUGAACGCUGGCGGCGUGCCUAAUACAUGCAAGUCGAGCGAACAGACGAGGAGCUUGCUCCUUUGACGUUAGCGGCGGACGGGUGAGUAACACGUGGAUAACCUACCUAUAAGACUGGGAUAACUUCGGGAAACCGGAGCUAAUACCGGAUAACAUGUUGAACCGCAUGGUUCAACAGUGAAAGACGGUCUUGCUGUCACUUAUAGAUGGAUCCGCGCCGCAUUAGCUAGUUGGUAAGGUAACGGCUUACCAAGGCAACGAUGCGUAGCCGACCUGAGAGGGGGAUCGGCCACACUGGAACUGAGACACGGUCCAGACUCCUACGGGAGGCAGCAGUAGGGAAUCUUCCGCAAUGGGCGAAAGCCUGACGGAGCAACGCCGCGUGAGUGAAGAAGGUCUUCGGAUCGUAAAACUCUGUUAUUAGGGAAGAACAAAUGUGUAAGUAACUAUGCACGUCUUGACGGUACCUAAUCAGAAAGCCACGGCUAACUACGUG